AUAGCACUGAGCCGUAUGCAAAUGAUUCCUUGCCCGUCCUACUCAAUAUAAAUUACACUACGCUUGCCCGGAUUUCGCAGUCAAGUAAAGCUAGGCUUGACACUUAGAAAAUUUUUGGCUGAUCGAAAACAUUUUCCGUCAUAGAUGGACUUAGAAAGGUUCAAAACGCAUAUUAACAGAGAUAGGUUUGGCUCAGGGGAAUUUUAAAGCAC